UCUGAUUGUGAUGAGAGGGCCUAAGGACAAAGACAAGAGACUUACCUAUCCAGACAGACUGCAAGGAUCAGCGCUUAAAAUACUGUGUGAGAAACUGACUUAACUUACUCCAGGACUGCAGAUGGGAGUAAGUGGCAGCUCGAGACCUCUGGGAUGGCAGGAUGGAUCUGACAACGGAAGGUAUAACAGAAUGCCACAGGACUGGAGCAACAGAAGCCCAGGAUCCAGUGCUCAGAGAAAGGUUUCCUCUCUGAACUCACCCACUGCAAAGAAGGAGAAGCACCUAAGAGGGGAAGGCAGGCAAUGGCAGCAAGUUGUCCUGCAGCAGCCCUUGUUGCCUUUUCAUCAGGCAUGUUUUUACUCCUCUCCCAAGGCCCCAGCUCCCUCAUGCUGUUAGACUGUUCAUUGCCCUGACCUGCCUCCUUCCCAGGUGCUACCCCAGUGUCCACAGGGAUCAUUGCCCAUUCCAGUCUCAGCAGG